rnacentral:rRNA from 1 species
GAUCAUGGCUCAGGAUGAACGCUAGCGGCAGGCCUAACACAUGCAAGUCGAGGGGCAUCACGAGGUAGCAAUACUUUGGUGGCGACCGGCGCACGGGUGCGUAACGCGUAUGUAACCUACCUAUAACAGGGGCAUAACACUGAGAAAUUGGUACUAAUUCCCCAUAAUAUUCGGAGAGGCAUCUCUCCGGGUUGAAAACUCCGGUGGUUAUAGAUGGACAUGCGUUGUAUUAGCUAGUGGUG